rnacentral:rRNA from 1 species
CCUACGGGGGGCAGCAGUGGGGAAUAUUGGACAAUGGGCGCAAGCCUGAUCCAGCAAUGCCGCGUGUGUGAAGAAGGCCUGCGGGUUGUAAAGCACUUUGAGUGGGGAAGAAGGCCUGGGGGUUAAUAGCUUCUGGGAUUGACGUUACCCACAGAACAAGCACCGGCUAACUCCGUGCCAGCAGCCGCGGUAAUACGGAGGGUGCGAGCGUUAAUAGGAAGUGCUGGGCCGAAUGAGCGCGUAGGAUGUUAAAGCCCUGGGCUUAACCUGGGAACUGCAUUGGAUACUGUUUGACUGGAGUGUGGUAGAGGGGUGUGGAAUUUCCGGUGUAGCAGUGAAAUGCGUAGAGAUCGGAAGGAACACCAGUGGCGAAGGCGGCACCCUGGACCGACACUGACGCUGAGGUGCGAAAGCGUGGGGAGCAAACAGGAUUAGAUACCCUUGUAGUC